rnacentral:tRNA from 1 species
GUCCAUGUAGUAUAAUCAAUAUCUUGGUCUUGUAAACCAAAGAAGGGAAUGAAACUCCCCAUAGACUC